CAUUUUCUUUUCUUGAUGCUUUUAACAUAUUCCUUUGUGUUAUUUAGGUGCAAAUGGCUCUUCUCUAUCAACUUCAUAAAUUAUGUUUGGGAAGUUUGAUAUUUUUAAUAUAAAGCUAUUUCUCAAAUGAAAGUAGGAAUAAAAUAACCCUCUUUCUUCUAAUGGAUCAGUUUGAAACAGGUCUUUGGAUCUGAAAAUGUAUCAAACUUUAUAUAUAAUUUCCUACCCCCAAAUGAAAUCACCAAUGAGAUUUGAGUCAAACUGCUGUUGACUAUUUUGGAUGAUGCCAUUGAUAAAAUCCAGUUUGGCUGUUUGGGGUGUGUGAGCCAAUUUAAGCUGUGUUUUGGCACAUCUCAAAUGGAUUUUCCACUUCCUCCACAGAUGUACGAGUCAGCAGCAAGCAGGAAUAUAUUGAUGUUUAUUUUAUCCUGCUGUGUCCCUAGGCAGGCAUUUCUGAGUUUCCAUGAUGUUUUAAUAACGAAUUAAUAGUGACAUGAAAACACAGUUUUGGAGGUUUUUCCUGAUUCACCAUAAAAGAUUUCACUUUCCUCAAACCAGAUUUCCCCCACUGGAUGGUCAGCAAGAAAAACAGAACCUGUUCAUCAGCCCAAGAUGCUGUUAUUGUUAAAAUACAGGAGAGAACAUACCACCUAUUUUUCCAUUUUGUGUAAAACUCCAUAAUAUGUUAAUGCAUAGUAAACAUUUCUACAAUUGAGUAGGAUAAUUGUCUCACCAAUUUAUUACUCAAAGAAAUUACAAUAAUCAGUUGUUAAACACUGUGAAGCAGAUAAUGUCAUUGGUAAUAAAGUGCCUCAUUUAAUUUUCAAAUAUGUGUGAUAAAAUCUCUAUCCUUAUUUUUUUUCACAUGAGGAAAAAAUAUGACUUCAAUUACGUAACUUGUCCUGAGCCACACCACUCAGUUGCAGAGGCAGACUCGAACCCAUAUCUGUCUGACUUCCACUCUCAUACCUCUACUCUGUGCCCUGGGUUGCUUUUUAGGGCUUCAGGUAGGAUCAUUGUACUUUAUAAAACAGAGCUCAGAAUCAGGGAGAGUUGUUAAUAUUAAGUGAGAAUGAUAUCCAAAGGGUAGUGUAGUGGUAAUGAAUACUGGCUCUGAAGUCAGAUCACUUGGCAUCAAAUGCCAUUCCCACCAUUUACAAGCUGCUAUUAUUCUUAUUACUAUGUACCUUAUUUUGCAAUAUAUUGCUUUACCUAAGCUUUUAGGGACACAUUCACUGUGUAAAUCAAUGCUUCUUGUAUAUACCAACUUAUUUAAGACAAAACAAUUUUGUAGGUAUUAUUAUACCCAUUUCACAGAUGAUGAAAAAUGAGACCAAUAGAAGUUAAAUAACUUGCCAAAGGCCACACAGCUGGUGAGUGAUGGAGAAAGAAUUAAAACUCAGGUGAGUAUAACUCUAAAAGCCAUCUUCUCGUUAGUGUUUCUCACUGUCCAGGUCUGCCUUUGCCUCUUUUAACUGAAGUUAAGCCAUCCUUUACAGUUUGGGGGGAUCAUUACAGUGGGUUUUUAACUCCCAAUGUUCUGGUCCAGUUUGCUUUACAUGUUCUCAUUUAUACAUUGUCAAGGAUGACCUCAGGACAGCGCAGCAAGGACACAGUGGCACUUCACAUUUUGUUCCCACGAAAUGACUGGGACAUAAUCUCAGAUCGUCUUCCUUUAGAAUGUGGAAACAUCAGCAGAAGAACAUUAGUCUUUAUACAAGUCAAAUCCAAAAUGACACAUGUGAAAAAUAAUAGAGCUGACUUUCAGCCAUGAUAGCUUUGGCACACCUCACAUCCCUUUGUUCAACCUCUCUUCCCUCAACGGAGAGCUGCAUUCCUGGGAAUUUCUGUUGUGCGCUUUUCCCACUUGCCCUGCUGUCAUUUAAAGCCCAUUCUCUGGUCACAUCUUGAGUAACUUCCAGCGGAUCCUGGUGCUGGUUCAUUAAGGCUUCAAAGUCCCUUCCUAUGGUGAUGGGCUCAUGGGGGCGCCACCCAGAGGCAAUGCAGGUUCUAACAUGAGCAGAUAGAGUCUGUGCCUAUUCUCUCCUCUUUAAAUGUGGAAAUAUCAGGGAUAGAAAAUGUUCUCUAGCUCCAGUGAUGGUUGGCUCUCAAAUCUGCAUAAAACAAUGGGGAGACUGGAAAGAUCAAUUGAGUGAUGAGGGCCCAACUAGAGUAUCGGAGACCUUUGUGUAGAAGUGAUUCAAAUAAGCUACAUGUUAUCUUAUUGAAUACCCAUUAAAUUCGGCAACUCUGUGAGGUGCUACAGAAGUUUCUGAGAGUGGAAGAGGUGAAAUCAACAGAAUGGACUCUAGACCCACACCCUCACCCGCUCCCAGUGAGCUGCUCAACUUUAUUUUAUUUUU